UACGAAGGGUGCAAGCGUUACUCGGAAUUACUGGGCGUAAAGCGUGCGUAGGUGGUUUGUUAAGUCUGUUGUGAAAGCCCCGGGCUCAACCUGGGAAUGGCAAUGGAUACUGGCAAGCUAGAGUGCGGUAGAGGGUAGUGGAAUUCCCGGUGUAGCGGUGAAAUGCGUAGAGAUCGGGAGGAACACCAGUGGCGAAGGCGGCUACCUGGACCAGCACUGACACUGAGGCACGAAGCGUGGGGAGCAAACAGGG
rnacentral:rRNA from 1 species